GCCACCUCUGGGAGGGGGUGGCAAUCCUGCGGGCCGGAUCCCAAGCCCUGAGGGGCCAGAUCUGGCCCGCAGGCCGUAGUUUGCCCAC